AGGCACUACGGUGCUGAAGUAACAAAUGCCCUGCUUCCAGGAAAAGCCUCUAAGCAUCAGGUAACAUCAAAUCGUACCCCAAACCGACACAGGUGGUCAGGUAGAGAAUACCAAGGCGCUUGAGAGAACUCGGGUGAAGGAACUAGGCAAAAUGGUGCCGUAACUUCGGGAGAAGGCACGCUGGUGUGUAGGUGAAGCCCCUGCGGGUGGAGCUGAGACCAGU
rnacentral:rRNA from 1 species